CUUGGUGGCCAUAGCACGUUGGACCCACGCCUUCCCAUUUCGAACAGGACCGUGAAACGACGUAGCGCCGAUGAUAGUGAGCAUUGCGCUUGUG
rnacentral:rRNA from 1 species